CCUACGGGAGGCAGCAGUGGGGAAUAUUGGGCAAUGGACGAAACUCUGAACCAGCAAAGCCGCGUGAAUGAUGAAGGUCCUCGGAGUGGUAAGUUCUUUUUUAAGGGGAGCAGAAAGUGACGGUACCUUAUGAAUAAGCCUCGGCUAACUACGUGCCAGCAGCCGCGGUAAUACGUAGGAGGCGAGCGUUAUCCGGAAUGACUGGGCGUAAAGGGUGCGUAGGUGGUUUGGCAAGUUAGUAGCGUAACUCCAAGGCUCAACCUUGGAACUGCUACUAAAACUGGUGGACUUGAGUGCAGGAGGGGAAACCGGAAUGCGUGGUGUAGCGGUGGAAUGCGUAGAUAUCAGGAGGAACACCAGUGGCGAAGGCGGGUUGCUAGACUGUAACUGACGCUGAGGCACGAAAGCGUGGGGAGCAAACAGGAUUAGAUACCCGUGUAGUC
rnacentral:rRNA from 1 species